CGGAGGCAGCAGUAAGGAAUCUUGCGCAAUGGGCGAAAGCCUGACGCAGCAACGCCGCGUGGAGGAUGAAGGUCUUUGGAUUGUAAACUCCUGUCGAGCGGGAAGAAUGACGAGGGUGCUAAUACCAUCCUCGUUUGAAUGUACCGCGAGAGGAAGCCCCGGCUAACUCUGUGCCAGCAGCCGCGGUAAUACAGAGGGGGCAAGCGUUAUUCGGAAUUAUUGGGCGUAAAGGGCGCGUAGGCGGCCUGGUAAGUCGAUGGUGAAAUCCCCGAGCUCAACUCGGGAACUGCCGUCGAUACUGCUUGGCUUGAGUCCGGAAGGGGAGAGUGGAAUUCCCAGUGUAGCGGUGAAAUGCGUAGAUAUUGGGAGGAACACCGGUGGCGAAGGCGGCUCUCUGGGCCGGUUCUGACGCUGAGGCGCGAAAGCGUGGGUAGCAAACAGGAUUAGAAACCCCUGUAGUCC
rnacentral:rRNA from 1 species